GGGAUUGUGGCUCAGUGGUCAAGCGCUUGCCUAGCAUGCAUGAGGCACUGGGUUCGAUCCCCAGCACCA
rnacentral:tRNA from 1 species